GGCUGAGAAUUUUGUGCUUCUCAAGCAAAUCCUUAGCAUGCUGUAGAGGAGAAAGAUUGGCUUUAUUGCAUGUUGAUCAGACACGGUUAUGCAUACAGUAGAUCCAGACCAGUUGCCUGCAGUGGAUUUUGCUGUUCUCUUUCAAUGAACAUUAGGGAAGAGUAAUAAUUCUUCAAACUGAAAGUUUGCACAUAUGGACCAUGAGAAAGGACCUUUGAAAUGAGAAGCUGCGUUUAAUGUGGAACUUCUCAUGGAAGUGAUUUGCAUCUAGUGGGAGAUUUUAAUACAGAUUCAAAUGGUGCUGAUCUUACUUGCCCUUCCAUAGCGUCACUCUUACCAAUUCUUACUUUGAAAAGCUUUAUUGUGUAAAACUCUGUAUAUGUAGAUCUACUGAUGAUGGCUUAAGGUUAUACCUUUAAAGGCAGUUCAGUUAAGAUCAAGGGAAGCAGCUCAGAAAAAUCAGAAUAGCACCAUGAUCAUAUUCACUUACUUUCGCUAUGAAAACAGCAGGUUGUAUAAUGUUUGAAAUCCACAAUGUCAUUCAUCAAACUAGUAGCGACAUCUCUAUCAUUUUU
rnacentral:lncRNA from 1 species